AAAUAAUAAUUAUUUAUUUUGUAGUAAUUAAUAUUAAAAUAUUUAAGAAAUUAAGAUUUAGUAAUAUUUAAAUUAAUAACAAAUUUUGUGCCAGCAGUUGCGGUUAAACAAAAAUUAAAUUAAAUUUUAUUAGUAAUUAAUUAAUAAAUAUUUUUAUAAUAAAAAUUUUAAAUUAUUAGGUGAAAUUUUAAUUUAAUUAAAUUUUAUAUUUAAUUUAUGAUUUAAUAAAUUUUAAAAAAAAACUAGGAUUAGAUACCCUAUUAUUAAAAUUUAAAUUUAUAAUACUAAAAUAGUAAUUAAUUAUUUAUUGAAACUUAAAUAAUUUGGCGGUAUUUUAGUUCAUUUAGAGGAAUCUGUUUAAUAAUUGAUAAUCCACGAAUAAAUUUACUUAAUUUAAUAUUUUGUAUAUCGUUGUUAAAAAAAUAUUUUUAAAAAAAAUUAAUAUUUAAAAAUUGUAAAUUAAUUUAAAUCAGAUCAAGAUGCAGAUUAUAAUUAAGAAUAUAAUGGAUUACAAUAAAUUUAUUUAUACUGAUAUUAAUUUGUAAUAAUUAAUUGAGGGUGGAUUUAAAUGUAAUUUUAUUUAAUUUAUUAAAAUGAUUAAAAAUUAAAAUAUGUACAUAUUGCCCGUCACUUUCAUAUAAUUAUAAUUUUAAUUAUAAUAAAUUGAAAUAAGUCGUAACAAAGUAGAGGUACUGGAAAGUGUUUCUAGAAAGAA
rnacentral:rRNA from 1 species